GAUGCUUUGUUGAGGUUUAAACACUGACGUGUUUUGAACGGCCGUGGACGAUGUGCCGUUUAAGACUCGCCGUGAGCCAUCUUUUUUAACGACAUCUCCUUCCACUGCGCUCC